rnacentral:lncRNA from 1 species
GAGUUGCCGAAGCCUGACUAACGCAUACUUGCGACAGUUACCAGAUGUGUGCCGCCCUAACAAGUUGGCAUGCCGUUUGGCUCCUUUGUCUAGACAACGUAGAAGUGGAUCCAAAAGCUGGAGGGCACCCAGGCUCCCGGCAGUGCAACGAAUUCCCGCCUGCUCUCCGCCGAUUUGAAGUCCCGCUGUAAACUAGGCGCUGUGUGAACUGAUAUGUCGCAAGCGUCCCUUUUCCUGGCUGCUCGUGGUGGUAGGGAAGACCACCUCUCACCCGACCUCCUGGUCGCUCCCUCGCCUGAAGCGUAGGAAGCAAUACUCCGUGACCCGAGCCUCGAGGUUCAACUUCAAGCCACCGAAAAAGCCGAGGAGGCAAUGCCUGGAUGCCAUCCUUCGCUAAAUUAAAUUGAUAAAAUAAAAUUGUUCCUUCCUCCUC